rnacentral:rRNA from 1 species
UACGUAGGGUGCGAGCGUUGUCCGGAAUUAUUGGGCGUAAAGGGCGCGUAGGCGGCCCGUCAAGUCCCGUGUGAAAGCCCCCGGCUCAACCGGGGAACUGCACGGGAAACUAGCAGGCUUGAGUUCGGGAGAGGGAAGCGGAAUUUCGGGUGUAGCGGUGAAAUGCGCAGAUAUCAGGAAGAACACCUAUGGCGAAGGCAGCUCUCUGGGACGGUACUGACGCUGAGACGCGAAAGCGUGGGGAGCAAACAGG